rnacentral:rRNA from 1 species
UACAGAGGUGCCGAGCGUUAGGCGGAAUCACUGGGCUUAAAGCGCGCGUAGGCGGCCCUGUAAGUCCGUUGUGAAAGUCAAAGGCUCAACCUUUGAAAGCCGAUGGAUACUGCAGGGCUGGAGUCCGGAAGAGGCGAGUGGAAUUCCUGGUGUAGCGGUGGAAUGCGCAGAUAUCAGGAGGAACACCAAUAGCGAAGGCAGCUCGCUGGGACGGUACUGACGCUGAGGCGCGAAAGCGUGGGGAGCGAACAGG